rnacentral:rRNA from 1 species
AUGUUGGAGAGUUUGAUCCUGGCUCAGGACGAACGCUGGCGGUGCGCCUUAUGCAUGCAAGUCGAGCGAAGCUUUUCAGUAGUUUACUACAGAAAAUGACUGAGCGGCGAACGGGUGAGUAACGCGUGAGCAAUCUACCUUAGUUACUGGGAUAGCCCGAGGAAACUCGGAUUAAUACCGCAUACGCCCUAAGGGGGAAAGGGGGCAGCUUGCUGCUCUCACUAUUGGAUGAGCCUGCGUAAGAUUAGCUUGUUGGUGGGGUAAAGGCCUACCAAGGCAACGAUCUUUAGCUGGUCUGAGAGGACGAUCAGCCACAUUGGGACUGAGACACGGCCCAGACAUCUACGGAAGGCAGCAGUUAAGAAUAUUGGACAAUGGGGGCAACCCUGAUCCAGCAAUACCGCGUGUGUGAAGAAGGCCUUAGGGUUGUAAAGCACUUUAAGCAAUGAAGAAGAAAAAUAAGUUAAUACCUUGUUUUUUUGACAUUAAUUGCAGAAUAAGUACCGGCUAACUCCG